rnacentral:rRNA from 1 species
UACGUAGGGCGCAAGCGUUAUCCGGAAUUAUUGGGCGUAAAGAGCUCGUAGGCGGUUUGUCGCGUCUGCCGUGAAAGUCCGGGGCUCAACUCCGGAUCUGCGGUGGGUACGGGCAGACUAGAGUGAUGUAGGGGAGACUGGAAUUCCUGGUGUAGCGGUGAAAUGCGCAGAUAUCGGGAAGAACACCCGUGGCUAAGGCGGCUCUCUAGUACGGUACUGACGCUGAGACGCGAAAGCGUGGGGAGCGAACAGG